UUGAACUUGCUUAGUUUCAGAAAACAAUUUUCUACUCUCGAUUUUUGGUUUUCAUUUUCAAUUGGAAAACUUGAAUAUUCAUCUUUUUAAUCUUACUCCUUGUUAGUUUUCUGUGCUAAAAUUAGGUCAUGCUUUAGCAUAAGAUUACUGAAAUGGCAGUCAAAUGUUAUAAGAGUAACAUUUACUGAGGUAAUCUUUAGCGUUGGUAAUGGUGUUCAAGUCCCUUCCACCAGAAAUGGUGGAUUUAAAAUGGGUGGGUGCAGCUUAUGGAAGGGGACUGACUACUACUAGUAGUAUAGCCUAAGUUUUGUGGGCCUCCCCAUAGAUAAAAAAAAAUUGAAGGUGGUGCUGGAGUAACUUUGGCAGUGAUGGUGGUAUAGGGAUAAUUGUUGUGGUGGUGUUGAUGGCUGUGGUAAUAGUGUCACUGGUAGUGCUAGUGAUGGUGUGGUGGUCAUGGUGCAGGUAUGUUGUGGCAGUGCCACUGCCAUUGAUAGUUGUUGUCAUGUUGGUGGUAGCAUUGUGGCUGGUGGAAAUGAUAAUGUGGUAAAAAAAAAUGCAAUGUGAAUCAUAAAUGUGAUACAUGUGGAAUGCAUGAAGAGUUUGUUAAGGGUAACAAGGAGAGAAUAUGCUUUAUUUUUCUUUUCAUUAUGUUUUUGGAAAACUGGAUGAUAAAAGUUUCCCUAUUUUCUACCUGGAAGAUUUUUGCUUCUGAAUAGAAACUUAAGUUUUGCAGAAUUUUUUUUCUGGAUCGCAGGCAUAAUUUUUCUACAACAGAAUAGCCCUUUUUCUUAUUCUCGAGCCUUUCCAGUGAAUUUGUUCUCUAUAGAGUUUUGGAAGUGCAUUUCACAUUUUGCUGUUUUGGUCUUACCUUAUAUUGUUUUUUGGCUUCUGUUUUUCCUCUCUUGACUCUGGCAGAUUAGGAAUGAAAAGGCAAG
rnacentral:misc_RNA from 1 species